GUCAUAUAAGCUGAACUGGUUAAGCGUCCGUUUUGUAAUCGGAAGGUAUGGGGUUCAAGUCCUCAAUAUGACA
rfam:Pichia farinosa complete mitochondrial genome, strain CBS7064